CCUCCUCCUCUUCCUCCUCUUCCUCACAUCUCUUCUUCUUCCUCCUCCUUCCCCCUUCCCCUCCUCUUCCUCCAAAUAGGUUUUUAUGUAUCCCAAGCUUGUCUAAAACUUUCUAUGAGCCAUCCAAGUGCUGGGAGUACAGCUGUGCACCAUCUCAGCCAGUUUAUAUGGUGCUAGGGGUCAAGCCAUGGCCUUCUGCAUGCUGGGCGAGCACUACCCACUAGCCACAUUUUCAGUCUUCUCAAGUGCUUCUUCUCCCGACAGAAACCCACAUUGCUUUCUUACCCAGAGUCCUUGGGACCUGGCUCAGAGUUUCUUUCCUGCAGCUGUUUCCACCUGCCCCACCUCUCCCACUCUUGGGGUUCUUCCUGUAGGGGACACAUAAAAUAAAUGUUUCCACUUCUCCCGUUUCCUCUGCUACAAAGAGCCCCUUCCAUCUUCAGAAUUACGGUGCAGUAAAUGAAACAACGGAGCACACGCUGCAAAACUGUAAAUAUUAUGAAGAUUUUGGUUAAUUUUUCCAAUGCCUGUUGUUUAUUGAAAUAUAAACAAAAUCAGACUUGUUAUGUUUCGUUCCCCCCUCUGUUCUUUGACGGUAUUAGGGAGGGUUCUCUGCCUUUCUGUUGUUUUUGUUUUUCAGACCUUAAGUUCACUAAAAGCCUCUAUAUCCGAUAAAAGCCCCCAAACUCCACAUCUGAUUUUCUUCUCAGAGGUCCUGAGAAUUUCACCAAGGCAAAUGUAUCAAUGCAUGUAUUGAUUUGCAUAUGUAUGUGUGUACACACACAUGUUCCAGUUAUAGGCAUUCAGCUGCUUUCAGACUCUCAGAGGAAGUCGUUUAUGUAAUCUUAAACUUCUCACCUCCCUCAUAGGUCCCUGCUGCUGUCUGCUGAAAAUGAUAACAUGUAGAAAGAUGAAAUAAAUAUAGAGUUAAAACAUUAGCCAAUGGGAUACAGUUUUUUAAACUUAUUCAACUUGUGCUGAGAUAAUGACCAGCAGCGGUUAAAUUAGAAGAACUGAGAGAGAGUGAAGACAGAAAUAAAUAACAAAAGUGGUAAACUGAUCAGUAGUUACAGUGCUUUCUCAAAAGGCUUCUGAGUCUCAACAUGAAUAUUCAAUACCAUAAAAUAAAACUUACAGGACCAACGGUACUGUUGCUCUAGCUACAGGAAUAAUCCUGGGCAGCACUUGUUGACCUUGGUCACUGUCAAGGGAAGAUCGGCUGUUCCCACUGAGGGCAUCUUGAUGGAUUAAGGUGAUCAGCUGAUCAAUGUGAGGGGACAGAUGGGAGCUAGGAACUGUCUCGGUACUGAGUCAUUUUUCAUCUAAUGUGCAAGAAACCCAAAGAGCACAUCAAACAGCGAACUACGCCUAAGCUAUCCAUGUUUCUCCUGCUUCUUCUGAGAGGGUGAUUUACACGUAGCUCAACACUCGAGUGUUGCAGUAUCGAGUGACUGCAACCAAACAAUGGAACAUGCAUCGUGCCUGUUGACAGAGCCUGCAGUUGGCUUGGAACCGGGACCAUGCUGCAUUCGACAUCGUUCCUGGUGGCUGACUUGUUCCCAUAGAAUUAAAUGCUAGGCAUCCAGAAGCUGACUGUGCAUCUGAUGGGCUCACUAACAUUCAGGAACAGGUUGGCCUCAGACUUCAUCAAUGGAAAGAGCCACCUAGAACAUGGAUGCAAGCUGGAACUUUGACGUUGUCUUGGGGAUAAAAGUUAAACAAAGAAGUGGAUUCUUCAGUCCUGACGCGUAAGUCACUGAGAGGAUGAGCUCGUUCCCUCUCCUGAAAGACAUCUUCCUGUUACAGCAGCCAGCUUUGCCAGCUCCCUGAACGUUCUGCUGCCUCCUUGCCCAGAACAGUAAGUACCUGCUUCGUGCUAAGGCCCAAGGGAGGGACCCCAGUCACCUGUGUGCUCCCUGAAGAGAGUCCAUGUUUUCCCAGGUUACUUACUUCUCUGGAAAGUCAGACGCAGAGCUGGCCAACCCCUGGCUCCCUGCUGCACCAGCACCAUGAGAAGGCAUGCCUACUGUGUAUUUGUCAGAGGCAUUGUUUACUUAAAGACCUUUUCCUUAAGAAAGAGUCACUAUCUUUUAAUAAGUUCAAAGAGCUGUCUAAUGCUAAUGCUAUUUCCUUCUUGGUUAUUCUUGCACAGAUAUUCUGUGAGUUAGUUGUGUGCCCGUGCCAACAAACUAUAAUCUUCUCUUUCUCCCCCUGCCCUCUGUCCAUGUACGUACACACACACACACACACA